rnacentral:miRNA from 1 species
GAAAGAAAGGGAAGAUGAGAGAGGAGGAUGAGAGGAUGAGUCCCAAAAGUGAAAAUAAAAACAAAAACUGAAAUCUAUUUGAAAUAUUGAUUUUCACUUUCAAGUUUUUGUUUUCACUUUUGUUACUCUUCUCUCUCAUCCUCUCCUUCAUCUCCCCUUUCAAU